ACGAACGCUGGCGGUGUGCUUAACACCUGCAAGUGGUGCGACGAACCAGAGCUUGCUCUGGGGCAAAGCCGCGAACGGGUGAGUAACACGUGGGUAAUCUACCCCGAUGACCGGGACAACCCGAGGAAACUCGGGCUAAUACCGGAUGUGGUGCGGAGACAUAAGUCUCUUCACUAAAGGUAGCUUCGGCUUCCGCAUUGGGAGGGGCCCGCGGCCCAUUAGCUUGUUGGUGGGGUCAAGGCCUACCAAGGCAACGAUGGGUAGCUGGUCUGAGAGGACGAUCAGCCACACUGGGACUGAGACACGGCCCAGACUCCUACGGGAGGCAGCAGUGGGGAAUCUUGCGCAAUGCGCGAAAGCGUGACGCAGCAACACCGCGUGAGGGAAGAAGGCCUUAGGGUUGUAAACCUCUUUCAGAUGGGACGAAGGUUCUCCGGUGAAUAGCCGAGAGGAUUGACGGUACCGUCAGAAGAAGCUCCGGCUAACUACGUG
rnacentral:rRNA from 1 species